GGUUAAGCGACUAAGCGUACACGGUGGAUGCCCUGGCAGUCAGAGGCGAUGAAGGACGUGCUAAUCUGCGAAAAGCGUCGGUAAGGUGAUAUGAACCGUUACAGCCGGCGAUGUCCGAAUGGGGAAACCCAGUGCAAUUCGUUGCACUAUCGUUAACUGAAUACAUAGGUUAACGAGGCGAACCGGGGGAACUGAAACAUCUAAGUACCCCGAGGAAAAGAAAUCAACCGAGAUUCCCCCAGUAGCGGCGAGCGAACGGGGAGCAGCCCAGAGUCUGAAUCAGCUUGUGUGUUAGUGGAACGGUCUGGAAAGUCCGACGGUACAGGGUGAUAGUCCCGUACACCAAAAUGCACAGGUUGUGAACUCGAAGAGUAGGGCGGGACACGUGGUAUCCUGUCUGAAUAUGGGGGGACCAUCCUCCAAGGCUAAAUACUCCUGACUGACCGAUAGUGAACCAGUACCGUGAGGGAAAGGCGAAAAGAACCCCGGCGAGGGGAGUGAAAAAGAACCUGAAACCGUGUACGUACAAGCAGUGGGAGCACCUUUAUGGUGUGACUGCGUACCUUUUGUAUAAUGGGUCAGCGACUUAUAUUCUGUAGCAAGGUUAACCGUAUAGGGGAGCCGCAGGGAAACCGAGUCUUAACUGGGCGUUAAGUUGCAGGGUAUAGACCCGAAACCCGGUGAUCUAGCCAUGGGCAGGUUGAAGGUUGGGUAACACUAACUGGAGGACCGAACCGACUAAUGUUGAAAAAUUAGCGGAUGACUUGUGGCUGGGGGUGAAAGGCCAAUCAAACCGGGAGAUAGCUGGUUCUCCCCGAAAGCUAUUUAGGUAGCGCCUCGUGAACUCAUCUUCGGGGGUAGAGCACUGUUUCGGCUAGGGGGUCAUCCCGACUUACCAACCCGAUGCAAACUACGAAUACCGAAGAAUGUUAUCACGGGAGACACACGGCGGGUGCUAACGUCCGUCGUGAAGAGGGAAACAACCCAGACCGCCAGCUAAGGUCCCAAAGUCAUGGUUAAGUGGGAAACGAUGUGGGAAGGCACAGACAGCCAGGAUGUUGGCUUAGAAGCAGCCAUCAUUUAAAGAAAGCGUAAUAGCUCACUGGUCGAGUCGGCCUGCGCGGAAGAUGUAACGGGGCUAAACCAUGCACCGAAGCUGCGGCAGCGACACUUAUGUGUUGUUGGGUAGGGGAGCGUUCUGUAAGCCUGCGAAGGUGGCCUGUGAGGGCUGCUGGAGGUAUCAGAAGUGCGAAUGCUGACAUAAGUAACGAUAAAGCGGGUGAAAAGCCCGCUCGCCGGAAGACCAAGGGUUCCUGUCCAACGUUAAUCGGGGCAGGGUGAGUCGACCCCUAAGGCGAGGCCGAAAGGCGUAGUCGAUGGGAAACAGGUUAAUAUUCCUGUACUUGGUGUUACUGCGAAGGGGGGACGGAGAAGGCUAUGUUAGCCGGGCGACGGUUGUCCCGGUUUAAGCAUGUAGGCGGAGGUUCCAGGUAAAUCCGGUACCUUUUAACGCUGAGGUGUGAUGACGAGGCACUACGGUGCUGAAGUAACAAAUGCCCUGCUUCCAGGAAAAGCCUCUAAGCAUCAGGUAACAUCAAAUCGUACCCCAAACCGACACAGGUGGUCAGGUAGAGAAUACCAAGGCGCUUGAGAGAACUCGGGUGAAGGAACUAGGCAAAAUGGUGCCGUAACUUCGGGAGAAGGCACGCUGGUGUGUAGGUGAAGUCCCUGCGGACGGAGCUGAGACCAGUCGAAGAUACCAGCUGGCUGCAACUGUUUAUUAAAAACACAGCACUGUGCAAACACGAAAGUGGACGUAUACGGUGUGACGCCUGCCCGGUGCCGGAAGGUUAAUUGAUGGGGUUAUCCGUAAGGAGAAGCUCUUGAUCGAAGCCCCGGUAAACGGCGGCCGUAACUAUAACGGUCCUAAGGUAGCGAAAUUCCUUGUCGGGUAAGUUCCGACCUGCACGAAUGGCGUAAUGAUGGCCAGGCUGUCUCCACCCGAGACUCAGUGAAAUUGAACUCGCUGUGAAGAUGCAGUGUACCCGCGGCAAGACGGAAAGACCCCGUGAACCUUUACUAUAGCUUGACACUGAACAUUGAGCCUUGAUGUGUAGGAUAGGUGGGAGGCUUUGAAGCGUGGACGCCAGUCUGCGUGGAGCCAACCUUGAAAUACCACCCUUUAAUGUUUGAUGUUCUAACGUUGGCCCCUUAUCGGGGUUGCGGACAGUGUCUGGUGGGUAGUUUGACUGGGGCGGUCUCCUCCCAAAGAGUAACGGAGGAGCACGAAGGUUAGCUAAUCCUGGUCGGACAUCAGGAGGUUAGUGCAAUGGCAUAAGCUAGCUUGACUGCGAGCGUGACGGCGCGAGCAGGUGCGAAAGCAGGUCAUAGUGAUCCGGUGGUUCUGAAUGGAAGGGCCAUCGCUCAACGGAUAAAAGGUACUCCGGGGAUAACAGGCUGAUACCGCCCAAGAGUUCAUAUCGACGGCGGUGUUUGGCACCUCGAUGUCGGCUCAUCACAUCCUGGGGCUGAAGUAGGUCCCAAGGGUAUGGCUGUUCGCCAUUUAAAGUGGUACGCGAGCUGGGUUUAGAACGUCGUGAGACAGUUCGGUCCCUAUCUGCCGUGGGCGCUGGAGAAUUGAGGGGGGCUGCUCCUAGUACGAGAGGACCGGAGUGGACGCAUCACUGGUGUUCGGGUUGUCAUGCCAAUGGCACUGCCCGGUAGCUAAAUGCGGAAGAGAUAAGUGCUGAAAGCAUCUAAGCACGAAACUUGCCCCGAGAUGAGUUCUCCCUGAGACUUUAAGUCUCCUGAAGGAACGUUAAAGACGAUGACGUUGAUAGGCCGGGUGUGUAAGCGCAGCGAUGCGUUGAGCUAACCGGUACUAAUGAACCGUGAGGCUUAACCUU
rnacentral:rRNA from 1 species